CAAACGCGCCGCCUGUGCGAUUGGCAGGACAGCCAUGACAGUGAUGUGCCAGGGGCGCGAGAUCGGCGGCCUCGUCGAGCAGAUGCUGCACCGUGAGCAUAGAGGUAAUCUCUUUGCCAUCUCCGGUACGCCGCGUAAACUCAAAAUCCAAUUCGCGCGGUGGGCGCAUAUCACCCUCACGCCGAU
rnacentral:misc_RNA from 1 species